rnacentral:misc_RNA from 1 species
UGCGGGACUCCGCCCACGAUUUCGGCCGCGAGAUCAUCCCGGACAUGUAUCCGCGGAUGAAGGUGCACGCCUACGAUUUCGCCAAGAAUCACGUUCCGGGAGAAGAAGGAAUCAAUCGCGGCUACUGGCGCGACGUCGGAACGAUCGACUCCUUCUUCGCGGCCUGCCUCGAUCUCGUGUCGGUCACACCGCUGUUCAAUCUCUACAACAUGAUGUGGCCGAUCGUGUCGGCGCCGAUGCAUCUUCCACCCGCGAAGUUCGUGUUCGCGGAUCAGCAGUCGCAGAGAAUCGGAAUCGCCACGGAUUCGCUCGUCUCCGACGGCGUGAUCAUCUCCGGCGGCACCAUCAAUCGCUGCGUUCUUCAUCGAUGCGUCGUUA